CAGUAGCCACGGGAAUACGUAGGGUCCGAGCGUUGUCCGGAAUUAUUGGGCGUAAAGGGCUCGUAGGCGGUUUGUUGCGUCGGGAGUGAAAACCUACAGCUUAACUGUGGGCUUGCUUUCGAUACGGGCAGACUUGAGGCAUUCAGGGGAGAACGGAAUUCCUGGUGUAGCGGUGAAAUGCGCAGAUAUCAGGAGGAACACCGGUGGCGAAGGCGGUUCUCUGGGAAUGUUCUGACGCUGAGGAGCGAAAGUGUGGGGAGCGAACAGGAUUAGAUACCCCCGUAGUCCCUGUCUCUUAUAC
rnacentral:rRNA from 1 species